AUAAAAGCACCCUAAUCCCCCACCUCUUCACAAUGUCCUGAGUUCUUUGCUUUGCCUUUCAUUUGGAGAAAAUAACGAUGGACCAAACACGGUCUGUGCCCCCAUCUUUUCUGGCCUGGUCAAUUUUCAACACUGUGUGCUGCUGUCUUCCUCUUGGAGUGGUUGCAAUUGUUUUUUCCUCCAGAGUGAACAACGCAGUCGCCAGAGGGGACCUCACAGCAGCUGAAUCUGACUCGCGGACCGCCAAGAUCGUCAACAUCGUGGCACUCGUGCUCGGCGUCAUCAUCCUCAGCAUAGUGAUUGGACUGAAGGCGUCAGGAGCAGGAUAACAAUGCAAAUCCCAGGGUGUCCCUUUGUGUUUUGGGGAAGGGAGAAUUUAUUUUGCCACCCUUCUAUUAAGCCUCUGUGUUUUUUUGUUUUUUGUUUUGUUUUUGUCCCUGAAACAAGUUGUUUGUCCACCGGACGUGUGUCUCUCCUUGUGUAUUAAAGCGAUGCUGUUUGAGCCCUUUUCAGA